rnacentral:rRNA from 1 species
AUAAGCCAUGCAUGUCUGAGUACAGCUAAAUAACCCGCGAGACCGCGAAUGGCUCAUUAUAUCAGUUGUUGUUUCUUUGUUGAAUGAAACCUAGUUUUCUUGGAUAACUGUGGUAAUUCUAGAGCUAAUACAUGCCUAACCUAAUCAAGCCUUGAACUAGUCGUCAGGGUGCUCUUAUUAGUGUCAAAACCUUUAACAUUGUAAUUUAUUUACUCUGUGUAUUAACCAAGAUGAUUCUCAAUAAUUCUAUGCUGAGCGCAGUCUUAUGAGCUGUUGCUACUCCUUUCAAGUGUCUGUCUUAUCAGCUCUCGACUGUAUGAUAUGUGUCUACAAUGGCGAUAACGGGUGACGGGGAAUCAGGGUUCGAUUCCGGAGAGGGAGCCUGAGAAACAGCUACCACAUCCAAGGAAGGCAGCAGGCACGCAAAUUACCCACUCCCAGCACGGGGAGGUAGUGACGAAAAAUAACAAUGCGAGACUCAAUUGAGUCUUCGCAAUUGGAAUGAGUACACUUUAAAUCCUUUAACAAGUAUCUAUUGGAGGGCAAGUCUGGUGCCAGCAGCCGCGGUAAUUCCAGCUCCAAAAGCAUAUAUUAAAGUUGUUGCGGUUAAAAAGCUCGUAGUUUACUUUCAGUUGUGGACUGAUGGUAUUUUACUGCCAGGUUUAUACCAUCACGCUCCAAAGCUGCUAAUGCAACCAAAAAAAGUUGUUGUGCUCCGCCAGCUCGCAUGGGAUGCUCUUCACCGAGUGUCCUGAGUGGCUGGCAUGUUUACUUUGAAAAAAUUAGAGUGCUCAGAGCAGGUUUUAUAGCCUGAAUGUCAAUGCAUAGUAUAAUGGAACAAGACCUCGGUUCUAUUUUCUGAAAAGGUUUUCUUGGAACCUGAGGUAAUGAUUAAUAGAGACAAGCGGGGGCAUUUGUACUGUGAUGCUAGAGGUGAAAUUCUUGGACCGUCACAAGACAAACAACUGCGAAGGCAUUGCCAAAUGUUUUCCAUUAAUCAAGAACGAAAGUUAGAGGUUCGAAGGCGAUCAGAUACCGCCCUAGUUCUAACCAUAAACGAUGCUAACCAGCAAUCCGCCGGGGUUAUUCCCAUGACCCGGCGGGCAGCUUCCGGGAAACCAAAGUCUUUGAGUUUCGGGGGAAGUAUGGUUGCAAAGCUGAAACUUAAAGGAAUUGACGGAAGGGCACCACCAGGAGUGGAGCCUGCGGCUUAAUUUGACUCAACACGGGGAAUCUCACCAGGCCCAGACACUAGAAGGAUUGACAGAUUAAAAGCUCUUUCUCGAUUCAGUGGGUGGUGGUGCAUGGCCGUUCUUAGUUGGUGGAGUGAUUUGUCUGGUUAAUUCCGAUAACGAACGAGACUCUGGCCUAUUAACUAGUCGACGGAUACAUUGUUGUCCAGUUCGCAACUUCUUCUUAGAGGGAUAAGCGGUAUGUCCUAGCCGCAUGAGAUUGAGCAAUAACAGGUCUGUGAUGCCCUUAGAUGUUCUGGGCUGCACGCGCGCUACACUGAAGGGAUCAGUGUGUUUUCCCCCUCCGAGAGGAGCGGGUAACCAGAUGAACCCCCUUCGUGAUAGGGAUUGGGGCUUGCAAUUUUUUCCCAUGAACGAGGAAUUCCUAGUAAGCGCAAGUUACCAGCUUGCGUUGAUUACGUCCCUGCCCUUUGUACACACCGCCCGUCGCUACUACCGAUUGGAUGAUUUAGUGAGGACUUUGGACUGUCACCUUUGGAUUUUUUAUGAUAAUCUCAGCUUGCAUGAGUGGGAUGAAGUAUUUUUUUCCUCUGAGCUGACGGAAAACUGUCCGAACUUGAUUAUCUAGAGGAAGUAAAAGUCGUAACAAGGUUUCC